rnacentral:rRNA from 1 species
CACGUAGGGCGCAAGCGUUGUCCGGAAUUAUUGGGCGUAAAGAGCUCGUAGGCGGUCUGUUGCGUCCGCUGUGAAAACUCGGGGCUUAACCCCGAGCCUGCAGUGGAUACGGGCAGACUAGAGGUAGGUAGGGGAGAAUGGAAUUCCCGGUGUAGCGGUGAAAUGCGCAGAUAUCGGGAGGAACACCGGUGGCGAAGGCGGUUCUCUGGGCCUUACCUGACGCUGAGGGGCGAAAGCCAGGGGAGCAAACGGG